UACGGAGGGAGCUAGCGUUAUUCGGAAUUACUGGGCGUAAAGCGCACGUAGGCGGCUUUGUAAGUUAGAGGUGAAAGCCUGGAGCUCAACUCCAGAAUUGCCUUUAAGACUGCAUCGCUUGAAUCCAGGAGAGGUGAGUGGAAUUCCGAGUGUAGAGGUGAAAUUCGUAGAUAUUCGGAAGAACACCAGUGGCGAAGGCGGCUCACUGGACUGGUAUUGACGCUGAGGUGGCGAAAAGCGUGGGGAGCAAACAGG
rnacentral:rRNA from 1 species